CAGGCAGGAAGCCUGGCUCCACUAGGACACACAGAUUCUCUCCUGAGCAGCUGUGAACUAUGCGCCCCUUCUACCCUUAAGAGAUGGAUUGGGAGUCCAACAAACGCAGCCAUUGCUCAGACCCCAGCCCUUCUCUCCUGUAAGAAGCAGGUUCACCUCUGCCACCGCACUCGCAAUUUUUUUUUUUUUAAGCCCGGCCUUUCCUAGGCGGGGUCAAGGGCCCCGCCCACCGAAGCCACGCCCAUAGCCGCCCCGGGGCGGGGCUCCCCUCGGCUCCCGGCUGCCCUUUCCCCUCCGGCCUCUGCCUGUGCUGCUGCGCCCUGCGGAGCUCCGAACACGUGCGCAGGCCAGCUGUGGCAGAUGCAACUGCAGGAUGACUUGAAAGUAGGGCAUCCUUCACCCAUCUGAAGAGAGGAAAUAGUGGCAGGUGACAGUCUGCACGUGCAGUUUUCAGAUGCCUUCACCUGAAUAUCAUCUACCCCCAUCACGACCCCAGAUGUCUGACAGCCCUGUGUGACACCAAGAUAAGUAAUAUAUGUAGUCUUCUUGUCA